ACCAACACUGACAAAGAUUUCAUCUAUCGAUACACCUUUUGUUCUUUUUCACAGACUUCUUGUCGUUGUUGCCAGCCACAUGACUUGCAGAUUCCAAAGCAAGAGAUGUAAAUCUUUUUUUUUUUCUCUUGCUCAAAAUGAACAUAUUUUAUUUGCGAACAAAAAAAUAUGUAAAUAAACAUACAUAUAACAGGAUAAAUCUAAGAUAUUUGUGCAUUCCUCUUUUGUUUUUGGCAACAUUCUUUUUUAUUAUUGCGUAUUAUAUACUUCCAAACAGCAGCAGAGGAGCCAUAAUCUUUUUUAAGAGAUUACAGAACAUAAUUCCAAGCAGCAAAUGAGAAAUCCACAUCAUUUUGGUUCAGUAGAUGUUUUGUGGAAAUGCCUGCUGCACAACCACCAAGAAACUUCCCCAGGAGCCUGUCUGCAGUACACAACUACCAAACGGGGAGGCCAAGGAGAACCACAGGAGGAAGCUGUAAGGGAAGCUGAAGGACAACAAGAAGGGCGGCGGUUUGGAGAGCUCGCCAUCAUUACCAGCCGCCAGCAGAAAGACUUGGUCCUGUCACGGCGCGGUCUCGAACCAUCUUUUCCCCGGCAGCUGGGUCUGCCAGCACUUCCGCUGACACGCCUCUGCUUGCGCUGCCCGCAUCACGCCCACAUGCCGGCAAGGCUGUGGGCGAUCAGCAAUCAACACAACUGCGAAUGAUGAGGGCGAGCGGUAUGUAGACUAGUGGACCCAAGGAUCCUCGCCGGAACUUAGUCUUCCGUACUCAAUCUGCCGUCGUCCCUGCGUGAUCGAGCUGUGCGCCUCGACUUCCCCUUUGGACUUUGGACUGCCACUCUCCAUCCUCGACCCUUCGCAUGGACACGGACUCUAACGCCUCUCUUUCGCCCUGGAUCCUCUGCCUGUCCCACGUACUGCCUUCCUGCCUUUUUCCUCCCCUCGCCCAACACAUCACGGUAAUACGCAACUUUAAUUACACACAUAGUCAAACACACA